UACGAAGGGGGCUAGCGUUGCUCGGAAUCACUGGGCGUAAAGCGCACGUAGGCGGCUUUUUAAGUCAGGGGUGAAAUCCUGGAGCUCAACUCCAGAACUGCCUUUGAUACUGAGAAGCUUGAGUCCGGGAGAGGUGAGUGGAACUGCGAGUGUAGAGGUGAAAUUCGUAGAUAUUCGCAAGAACACCAGUGGCGAAGGCGGCUCACUGGCCCGGUACUGACGCUGAGAUGCGAAAGCGUGGGGAGCAAACAGG
rnacentral:rRNA from 1 species